UACAGGGGGUGCAAACGUUGCUCGGAAUUAUUGGGCGUAAAGCGCGCGUAGGCGGCUACUUAAGUCGAACGUGAAAUCCCUGGGCUCAACCCAGGAACUGCGUCCGAUACUGGUUGGCUUGAAUCCGGGAGAGGGAUGUGGAAUUCCAGGUGUAGCGGUGAAAUGCGUAGAUAUCUGGAGGAACACCGGUGGCGAAGGCGACAUCCUGGACCGGUAUUGACGCUGAGGCGCGAAAGCUAGGGGAGCAAACGGG
rnacentral:rRNA from 1 species